UCUGGCUUGGGGAAGGUAGAGGAGAGAAGUGGAUUCCCGGAAGCAGAGAAGAAGCCUAUCUCUUUGGAGAUCUGUCUUUUCUAAACCCUGAAUACCUCCACUAAGACCUUCAGUUACUGCAGUUUAAAAUCCUCAAGUGGAAUUGUGGAUUUUGGACUUUUGAACAGAGCCAUCCAUAGAACCCUUGUCUUAGGAUCUCUCUCUCUCCCUCUCCCUCUCCCUCUCCCUCUCCCUCUCCCUCUCCCUCUCUCUUUCUCUCUCUCUCUCUCUCUCCCUCUCCCUCCCUCCCUACCUCCUUCCCUCCCUCCCUCCCUCCCUUACCUGUCCCUGGACUCAAUACAUUCAAGAUCUAGCUAGUUGAGAGUAGGGCCAGGAAAGCAAUUGGCAAAAGGGAGAAGUCAGGGCUGAGAAGCCUGUGACCUCCAGACUCUUGAGGGGCCAGCCUGCUAGAGUGGACAAUCUGUAGGGCUUCCCUGUUUACUUGCUUUCCUGCCUGACAUCUUUGAUAUCCCCUUCCUGCUUUAACCCCAAUAAAUUAUUUGAUAUUUAAAAUUUAGGUUUGGAUCAGUCUCUAAAACAACAUAGUUAAGGGGACUGAAGAUUUGGGGAGGGUCACACCUCUUCCCAAAAGGGGGUUGACUUCUAGUUCCCAGUGAUUCCAGAAUGUCUGACCCAAGGAACUGUUAUCUAUCCCUGGCAGUUAACCACUCCUAUGACCCUGAAAGGGGUUGACAGUUAAUGUCCCUGGGGGAAGCAGAGGCAUAAGAGGUCAUCUUGCCUCUCAAGGACAGACUGGACCUCAGGAGCCCUGGGCUCCUCUGAGGGAGGCAUCCUGCCAUUUCACUGAGGCAAUUCCACUUUAGUCUCCUGUCCCUCCAUCUCCAAGAAAAUAUCCCUAUGGAGACAUACUUCUUUUCUCCAAGGGGACAGGACCUGGCUUAUCUCCCCCCAGAAAAUGAUUUAUAUAAAAUUCAAUUUGAGUAAUGAAAAUUAACAUCAAGCAAGAACUGUCUACAUAACCCUGUAAGUUCUGUACAAAAUGACCUUCUAUAGAACCAUGGAAGAUUAGAAGAGACCUCAGAGGUCAUCUUGGUGACCCACUACCUCGUGAGACACCCUCUUCUAUUUCUGGACAGAUGCGAUUGGAAUGAAGUUCUUCCUUGUAUUGAGCCAAAAUCUUCUUCCCUCAGCCUUUCACACAAUGGUCUUAACUCUCCCUGGUGGGAGGAUAGGCUUUAUCAGUUUUUCAUAUGAUAUCCAUAUUUUAAAACAGUGAUCAUAUUUUCCUAGCCUUCACUCUUUUUUUUUUUAACCCUUACCUUCCGUCUUGGAGUCAAUACUGUGUAUUGGCUCCAAGGCAGAAGAGUGGUAAGGGCUAGGCAAUGGGGGUCAAGUGACUUGCCCAGGGUCACACAGCUAGGAAGUGGCUGAGGCCAGAUUUGAACCUAGGACCUCCCAUCUCUAGGACUGGCUCUUAAUCCACGGAGCUACCCAGCUGCCCCCUAGCCUUCACUCUUUUAGACUUUAAUAUCCUUAUUUUCUUCAAUUCUUAUAUGACUUGGGUUCAAGUGUCCUCAGUGUCCUUGUCACCGUUUUCUCGUAUGUCAAUUAAUUUUUUUGGUCUAGACUUGGGAUUGAAUCAGGAUGAGGAACUCUGUGUUCCCCUCACUGAUGACGAUCAAAAGCUCAUCUCUAAUUUAUAAUCAUUUGACUAAAGCACUGAGAGAUUAAAUGAUUUACUUAUGGUCAGACAGCCAGUAUAUGUCAGAGGUGGGACUUAAAACUCAGGUCUUCUGGAUUAAGGCCAGUCCUCUAACCACUAUAGCAUGCUCAUUCUCAAGCUGUUCAUUUACAUCCAAAAAUUCCCUCUGUUUUUCCGAGGAAGCAACUGUCAAGACUCAGAAUCAUAAUAUUUUAGAAUUGGAAGGGAUGAUAAAAGCAAUUCUUUCAUUGCAAUACCUUCCUUUUGUAGAUAAGGAACCUGUGACCCAUAGAGAUUAAAUGACUUGUCCAAGGUCAUGCGGUCAUCAUGCUGCAAAGUUGGGACUGAAACCCAGGUUUUGCUCCUGCUUGUCCAAUGCUUAGCUUGCCAUUCCAGUCUACCAGUUGCAAUCCAUACAAUCUCAGAAACAAUAUAUUUUCAUUUUCAGUACAUUUUCCUCAAGGAGAGGGGUCUGGAAAAUGUCUUCUUUCUAUCCUGGGGGAGUCAGGAUGAGCUUUCCCAUCAGCCAGCUGUUCUUGCCCCUUUUCCAAUGCUCCUCAGGAACUUGGGUUUCAAAAGGGGAAUCACUCUGUGCCUUGCCAUGGUUUGUGCCUUAACUCUGCACUGUCAGUGAUCAUUCAGAACUCAGAACAGUCUGUGUGCUUGGAAUGAGCAAUUAGUAAACUGCUGUGGAGUUAUUUGGGCAAAAAAGUCUGCAGUGCCCUCACCCCGGCCGGCCGUUCUAAAUGGUUUCCUUAAGCACUAGAUCCCAGGCGGAUAGGUUGCAUUGCUCCUUUGGUUCAUAUUGCUUGCGGCAGACUGAAGGACCGAGCUAAUUGGCAGACAAGGGCAUUUAGGAUAUAAAAGCAGUUCAGUGAAGGAGUACAGGAGAGAGUAGUGAAGUAGCUGGACUGUUCAGCAGCAAAUAAACACAAACUCAUAAAAGUAUGAGAUGAGAAGUCUGGAUUAGGAAGAUUUGGCCCCUGUCCCGAGAGAGUCCUCAUGGUCUCCGAUCCCUCCGGUGGUCAGUCCCCCCAUUUCUACAUAUUUGUGUCUCUGUUUUAUAUAUCUCCUACAUAAAUCCAUUUGUUAUUAAUGAUAUAAAGUGCUUUGCAAGCUUUAAAGUGCUAUAAACUAUUAUUAUUACUAUAAUAUAUGACUUCAAGAAGGCAGGGAGAAUCAAAAAAUAUCAAAAUAAAUUUAUUACAAGCAAGUAUUCAAUGACCACUUCAUUGCCUUCAAGACAAUUUUUAGCCUUCAGGAACAUGGGGGUGUGCUACAUAACCUUCAUCUGCAACAUAUGACGUGUACACGGGCCACAUCUUCCUCUUCAUGAAAUGAUUGGGUCAGAUGAACUUUCAUACCUCUUUGAAUAAGUAAAACUUUCAAUCACUUACUAAGUGGAGACAUGGACUAGUUUAGGAAGAGAUCUAUAGUCAUUUAAUCAAGGCUGUAGAUAAUCUUCCCCAGGUAUCACUGAAUAAAACAAACUCACUCAGAAGAAUAGUCUAACAUCUGAUUUGGAAUAUUGACCUUAUCUGAAAUCUUAUUUUUACCUAUAUGACUGGGUUGAGUUGACCUUGAAUUUUUGAAGGCCAUGACAGGGAGCACAAAUUCUGACCUGUCUUAGCAAGCUGGAAAAGUUUCCAAAGUGGGUUCAAUAUCCAUCAUUGGAGGAUCAAGGUAGCUAAAUUUGGAGAGGCUUAUUACAAGAACACUAAGGGAUGACAUAUUAUUUUUUUGUUUUAGCAGCAAUUCAUUGAGCCUUUUUUGAACCAAGAAUGGAACAUGGUCUAUACUGGGAGAGAGAGUAACUAAAUGGAGUCUUGAAAAAGUGCCUAUGUGAAUAUAUAAAUGUCACUCAUAUAUUUAUAUUCAAACAUUUCUCUUUCUAAGAUAUGAAUGCUUCUGACAUUUGACUGCAAAGUGAUGAGACUCAUCCUUAAACUUAUUUACCAGAACUUAUUCAGUAUUGUCUUUCAAGAUAAUCACUUUAGGAGGCAAAACAUUCUAACAUGAUUCUAUUGUCCAAGAUACAUAUAUACACAUGAAUAUGUAUGUUUACGUGCAUAUUAAACCCAGUCUUCGAACCUAGACAAUUUACACAAGACUGUUCUUGGUGGAGACAGUGUAGAUUUGACCAUGAAGGGAAGAGUUGGUAUGAGAACUUUAGAGAGUAUCAUUAUUCUUCAUUCCUGCUUCAAGAGAGUGUAUGCACAAACACACACACACACACAUACACUCACACACACACACAAUUCUAAACUCUCUUUAGGAAGCCACCAAUGGAAAGAGAGAAAAAUUUUGGAAGGCAGACAUGCAGGGGAAAGCUGGCUUCUCCACGUGCCCACGAUUUCUAGUUUGUCUCCUUAGAGUCCUUAGGGAAUUUUUACUUUGGGUGAGAUCAGGACCACUAGCUUUUGGUUGAGGUGAGAUAUCUCAUUCCCAGGAGUAGGGCUCAUUCACUCCGUGCAUUUCCUGAUAUAUUCUACUCAAUAUAACUUUUCUCAUUUCUUUUUGCUUUCUGCUUGGAUAAGUGAUUUUAUUUACUAUUCAUUAUUUGUGAUGGUCUUUUGUAUAACUAGCCUUUGAUAGGAAGGAGUCAAACCUAUGGUUAUAAGCUUGAGGUUAGUAGAACCUUUAAGGCAUAGUACCCAGGAAAAUGUUUUAAAUCUAACAAGAUCAUUCCUCUAGAACUGCAAUAUUUAGGGAGGAAGCUAGGUAUAAUUCUAGUCUAGUAGUUCUCUCUGAGAAAACCAGCAGCGCUAGCCUCAUGGCUCCUUCUGCUCCCCUCCAGGCAGAAAUCAAAGUCUUCUUUGGAAAGGAGUAUGUAAAAUUCCAUAGCUAUCCAUUCUUGUGUCUCUAUGAGCCACAUUUAUACAAUGCUUGUGGACAUGCACUCUAUAUAUACUUAUAUAAUAUGCAUUUUAAGUGGAAGUUUAUUUGUAAACUGAAUUCAAGGCUCAUGUGUACUUUAAUAUUUUAGUAGGGUUGUUGAUGUUUCUUCGGUACCAUGUGGCAAGCCACAGAAACAAUAUGAAUUAUCUUAUACCCAACUCUGUGUUUGAUCGACCUUCUGUAAGAUAGAAAGUAUAUUUUUGCUAUUUUUUAAAGGCUGCAUUAGUUUGUUUGUAUGCACUGGAGUCUGCCUGGU